rnacentral:rRNA from 1 species
CUUUGCACUGGACUUUGAAUAUUUAUUUGUAGGAUAGGUGGGAUACCAUGAAGAAGCUACGCCAGUAGUUGUGGAGUCGUCCUUGAAAUACCACCAAUGAAUCUUUGAAGUUCUAACUCAGGAGAGAUUCGAGGACAGUGUAUGGUGGGUAGUUUGACAGGGGCGGUCUCCUCCUAAAGAGUAACGGAGGAGUACGAAGGUGCACUCGGUACGGUCUGAAAUCGUGCCAAGAGUAUAAAGGCAAAAGUGCGCUUGACUGCGAGAGUGACGGCUCGAGCAGGUACGAAAGUAGUUAUUAGUGAUCCGGUGGUCCCGAAUGGAAGGGUCAUCGCUCAACGGAUAAAAGGUACUCCGGG